rnacentral:rRNA from 1 species
GUGUCAGCAGCCGCGGUAAAACGUAGGAGGCGAGCGUUAUCCGGAUUUACUGGGCGUAAAGCGCGUGCAGGCGGCCAUGUAAGUCGUGCGUGAAAGCUCCCUGGCUUAACCGGGAGAGGUCGUGCGAGACUGCAUGGCUAGAGACAGGCAGAGGCAAGUAGAAUUCCGGGUGUAGUGGUGAAAUGCGUAGAUAUCCGGAGGAAUACCAGUGGCGAAGGCGGCUUGCUGGGCCUGUUCUGACGCUCAGACGCGAAAGCAUGGGGAGCGAACGGGAUUAGAAACCCUAGUAGUCC